UUUAUAACAAUGAAGAGUUUGAUCCUGGCUCAGGAUGAACGCUAGCGGGAGGCUUAACACAUGCAAGUCGAGGGGCAACACGAGUAUUUAUAUUUGGUGGCGACCGGCGGAUGGGUGAGUAACACGUAUGCAACCUACCAUUUA
rnacentral:rRNA from 1 species